GAUGAACGCUGGCGGCGUGCUUAACACAUGCAAGUCGAACGGAAAGGCUCCUGCUUGCAGGGGUACUCGAGUGGCGAACGGGUGAGUAACACGUGGGUGAUCUGCCCUGCACUUCGGGAUAAGCUUGGGAAACUGGGUCUAAUACCGGAUAGGACCGCAUUUUGGAUGGUGUGGUGGAAAGUUUUUUCGGUGUGGGAUGAGCUCGCGGCCUAUCAGCUUGUUGGUGGGGUAAUGGCCUACCAAGGCGUCGACGGGUAGCCGGCCUGAGAGGGUGUACGGCCACAUUGGGACUGAGAUACGGCCCAGACUCCUACGGGAGGUAGCAGUGGGGAAUAUUGCACAAUGGGCGCAAGCCUGAUGCAGCGACGCCGCGUGGGGGAUGACGGCCUUCGGGUUGUAAACUCCUUUCGCUAGGGACGAAGAGUAAUUGACGGUACCUGGAGAAGAAGCACCGGCUAACUACGUG
rnacentral:rRNA from 1 species